rnacentral:rRNA from 1 species
CAGAUGCUAAUACCGGAUAACAACAGAUGAUGCCUAUCAACUGUUUAAAAGAUGGUUCUGCUAUCACUCUUGGAUGGACCUGCGGUGCAUUAGCUAGUUGGUAGGGUAACGGCCUACCAAGGCGAUGAUGCAUAGCCGAGUUGAGAGACUGAUCGGCCACAUUGGGACUGAGACACGGCCCAAACUCCUACGGGAGGCAGCAGCA